rnacentral:tRNA from 1 species
GCCGUGAUAGCUCAGUUGGGAGAGCGUUAGACUGAAGAUCUAAAGGUCCCCGGUUCGAUCCCGGGUCGCGGCA